UGAACGCUGGCGGCGUGCUAAACCAUGCAAGUCGGAACGACUUUUAUGCAGUUAUUCUGUUUACCUAGCCUGUCGGCAGAACUGACUUUGCUUUGCGCUAAGCGAGUUUGCUCCUCGAUUCUCGUCAGAGACGGAAGGGACUGCUAGCAAACGCUUAGCGAAGUCUGUUUUGCUGAUAUAAGCUAGGAACUAAAAUUUAAUAUCAUAUUGUGUUAGUGGCGGACGGGUGAGUAAUACAUUGGCAUCUACCUCGAAAUGGGGAAUAACUGCCCGAAAGGGUGGCUAAUACCGCAUAGUCCCGCAAGGGUAAAGCAGCAAUGCGUUUCGAGAAGAGCCUGUGUCCUAUCAGCUAGUUGGUGAGGUAAUGGCUUACCAAGGCGAUGACGGGUAGCUGGAUCGAGAGGUUGACCAGCCACACUGGGACUGAGACACGGCCCAGACUCCUACGGGAGGCAGCAGUUAGGAAUAUUGCGCAAUGGGUGAAAGCCUGACGCAGCGACGCCGCGUGAACGAUGAAGGCCUUCGGGUUGUAAAGUCCUUUUAACUAGGAAGAUUAUGACUGU
rnacentral:rRNA from 1 species